UACAGGGGGUGCAAACGUUUGCUCGGAAUCAUUGGGCGUAAAGCGCACGUAGGCGGUUCGUUAUGUCGGAUGUGAAAGCCCUUGGCUUAACCGAGGAAGUGCAUCCGAAACUGGCGAGCUAGAGUACGAAAGAGGAUCGCGGAAUUCCCGGUGUAGAGGUGAAAUUCGUAGAUAUCGGGAGGAACACCGGUGGCGAAGGCGGCGAUCUGGGUCGAUACUGACGCUGAGGUGGCGAAAAGCGUGGGGAGCAAACAGG
rnacentral:rRNA from 1 species